CACAAACAAAUCUAGCAGUUACGACGUCAUAUAGU
rnacentral:guide_RNA from 1 species